rnacentral:rRNA from 1 species
GCAGGUUGAAGGUUGGGUAACACUAACUGGAGGACCGAACCGACUAAUGUUGAAAAAUUAGCGGAUGACUUGUGGCUGGGGGUGAAAGGCCAAUCAAACCGGGAGAUAGCUGGUUCUCCCCGAAAGCUAUUUAGGUAGCGCCUCGUGAAUUCAUCUCCGGGGGUAGAGCACUGUUUCGGCAAGGGGGUCAUCCCGACUUACCAACCCGAUGCAAACUGCGAAUACCGGAGAAUGUUAUCACGGGAGACACACGGCGGGUGCUAACGUCCGUCGUGAAGAGGGAAACAACCCAGACCGCCAGCUAAGGUCCCAAAGUCAUGGUUAAGUGGGAAACGAUGUGGGAAGGCCCAGACAGCCAGGAUGUUGGCUUAGAAGCAGCCAUCAUUUAAAGAAAGCGUAAUAGCUCACUGGUCGAGUCGGCCUGCGCGGAAGAUGUAACGGGGCUAAACCAUGCACCGAAGCUGCGGCAGCGACACUAUGUGUUGUUGGGUAGGGGAGCGUUCUGUAAGCCUGUGAAGGUGGCCUGUGAGGGUUGCUGGAGGUAUCAGAAGUGCGAAUGCUGACAUAAGUAACGAUAAAGCGGGUGAAAAGCCCGCUCGCCGGAAGACCAAGGGUUCCUGUCCAACGUUAAUCGGGGCAGGGUGAGUCGACCCCUAAGGCGAGGCCGAAAGGCGUAGUCGAUGGGAAACAGGUUAAUAUUCCUGUACUUGGUGUUACUGCGAAGGGGGGACGGAGAAGGCUAUGUUGGCCGGGCGACGGUUGUCCCGGUUUAAGCGUGUAGGCUGGUUUUCCAGGCAAAUCCGGAAAACCAAGGCUGAGGCGU